UACAUUUUGUACAUAUAUCCGGGAUGUUCCGAUUAUAUUUAUUUAAUUUAACUGGCGUGAUAUAAGUUCUCAUUAGCCAUUUAUACUGCAAUAAUCUAAAACGGGUAUUGAUUGAUUGGGUGUGGACCUUAGUACAUACAGAAUGCCAGUCUUCUAAUGAGAUAUCUGUACCUAGAUCUUCCUUCCAUGCUUCACACUUAUGAUCUGCAUUUUCAAUUGAAUUAGAUAGUAAGUAAUUAUAUAAUGUUAUAGUGUUUUAAUUGAGAAAAGCCGCUACUUUUGCUGUUUUGACCGGUCCAAGAUGGCGAACAAGUUGCGCGCGCCGCUCGGACUGCUGCACCGCCCCCUCCUGGACACACAACACUACUGCAGCUCUUCCCUUCUCUUCCUGGAGUGAAGUCGGGGUGAGGCGAGGAUAAAGGCUGUGUAGACGGGAAUAAGACAUGAGACAGAUGUGAUCCACUUUGAGACAGAAGCUGUCAGAGCCGGGGUAGAUUAUCUGGAUUCAAAGCAAAGAGCUGCAGCCAUGGAGGAGGAAGAAGCGACAACAGCUCCAGAGACGGUGGAACCUGGACAUGACCAAUAAGUUGCUGACCCUUGUUCCCUGUCUAACAAUACUCCAUUUUCAGAGGAUGUUUCAUUGACAGAAGAACCCCAGACCAGAGCAGAAUUCCAAAAAUAUUACUGUCACCUGACUCUGGACCCAAACACAGCGUACAGAGAGCUGCUUCUCUCCGAGGACAACAGGAAAGCAGAGCUGACGAAUAUGGUUCAGACGUAUCCAGACCAUCCAGACAGGUUCUCCCACCUGUACCAGGUGUUGUGUGCAGAGCCUCUGUCCGGCCGCUGUUACUGGGAGGUGGAGUGGAAAGAGUCUAUAGAAAUCGCUGUGGCCUAUAAAGAUCUCAGCAGAACAGGGUAUUAUGACGAGUGUGCAUUCGGCUGCAAUGACAAGUCCUGGAGUUUAGACUUAAACAAGAACAAUAAGUGUUUCCGACACAAUGAUGAAGAGACCGAGGUGCCGGAGCCUCUGUCCUUCAGAGUCGGUGUGUACCUGGACCAUAAGGCAGGUCUACUGUCUUUCCACUGCAUCACUGACAUGAGGCUGCAGCUUCUACACAAAGUCCACACCACGUUCACAGAACCUCUGUACCCAGGGCUGUGGGUGGCGGACAGCGCCCAGCUCUGCGACCCCGAGUGAACCCUUCAACAACACUGUACAUCAGCGGUGUGAGACUCAUUUUAAGUCAUGGGUCACAUGCAGUCCAAUUUGACUUCAAGUGGGUCAGACCAGUAAAAUAAUCACAUAAUAACCUAUAAAUAAUGACAACUCCAAAUUUUUGUCUUUGUUUUAAUGCAAAAAGUACAAUUAAAUUAUGAUAAUGUUUACAUU